rnacentral:miRNA from 1 species
CAUGGUGUCUUAGUCAGGGGUAG